rnacentral:rRNA from 1 species
UUGGAGGGCAAGUCUGGUGCCAGCAGCCGCGGUAAUUCCAGCUCCAAUAGCGUAUAUUAAAGUUGUUGCAGUUAAAAAGCUCGUAGUUGAAUUUCGGGAUUAGUACGCUGGUCGUGCCUUUGGUAUGUACUGGUGUUACUGGUUCCUACCUUCUGACGAACCGUCAUGUCAUUAAUUUGGUGUGGCGGGGAAUCAGGACUGUUACUUUGAAAAAAUUAGAGUGUUUAAAGCAGGCUCGCGCUUGAAUACAUUAGCAUGGAAUAAUGAAAUAGGACGUUCGAUCCUAUUUUGUUGGUUUCUAGGAUUGACGUAAUGAUUAAUAGGGAUAGUUGGGGGCAUUAGUAUUCAAUUGUCAGAGGUGAAAUUCUUGGAUUUAUUGAAGACUAACUACUGCGAAAGCAUUUGCCAAGGAUGUUUUCAUUAAUCAAGAACGAAAGUUAGGGGAUCGAAGACGAUCAGAUACCGUCGUAGUCUUAACCAUAAACUAUGCCGACUAGGGAUCGGAUGAUGUUAUUUUUAAUGACUCAUUCGGCGCCUUACGGGAAA